rnacentral:rRNA from 1 species
GUGAGGAAUAUUGGUCAAUGGGCGCAAGCCUGAACCAGCCAUCCCGCGUGAAGGAAGAAGGCCCUACGGGUUGUAAACUUCUUUUCUGUUUGAAGAAUAAGCUUGUCGAGACAAGUGAUGCCGGUAGGACAGGAAUAAGCAUCGGCUAACUCCGUGCCAGCAGCCGCGGUAAUACGGAGGAUGCAAGCGUUAUCCGGAUUUAUUGGGUUUAAAGGGUGCGCAGGUGGUUGAAUAAGUCAGUGGUGAAAGUCUGGCGCUUAACGUUAGGAUUGCCAUUGAUACUGUUUGACUUGAAUAUGGAUGAGGUAGGCGGAAUGUGUAGUGUAGCGGUGAAAUGCUUAGAUAUUACACAGAACACCGAUUGCGAAGGCAGCUUACUAAUCCAUUAUUGACGCUGAGGCACGAAAGCGUGGGGAUCAAACAGGAUUAGAAACCCGGGUAGUCC